rnacentral:rRNA from 1 species
CCUACGGGUGGCAGCAGUGAGGAAUAUUGGUCAAUGGCCGGGAGGCUGAACCAGCCAAGUCGCGUGAGGGAAGACGGCCCUACGGGUUGUAAACCUCUUUUGUCAGGGAGCAAGGUGCAGGUCGGGACCUGCUGUGAGAGUACCUGAAGAAAAAGCAUCGGCUAACUCCGUGCCAGCAGCCGCGGUAAUACGGAGGAUGCGAGCGUUAUCCGGAUUUAUUGGGUUUAAAGGGUGCGCAGGCGGAGGCACAAGUCAGCGGUAAAAUGUCGGGGCUCAACCCCGGCCGGCCGUUGAAACUGGUUUUCUAGAGUUGGAGAGAAGUAUGCGGAAUUCGUGGUGUAGCGGUGAAAUGCAUAGAUAUCACGAAGAACUCCGAUUGCGAAGGCAGCAUACCGGCUCCAUACUGACGCUGAGGCACGAAAGCGUGGGGAUCGAACAGGAUUAGAUACCCGGGUAGUC